rnacentral:lncRNA from 1 species
AAUAAUUGUUUGGUUUAAUAAAUAAAUAAAUAAUAUGUAUUUAAAUAGACUACAUUUUAAAAAAUUAAAUAAAUAAUUGUUUGAUUAAUAGAUAAUAAUCCAUGUAAAAUAUGCAAUAAAGAAACAAAAAGAUAAUUGUACAAUGAAAAUGUCAUCACACAAACUAAAUAUUGUCUAAUCAAUACUUUAAAAACAUAAAUAAAAAUUUAGCACAAAUUACUUUUCCCACUUAAAAAUUUAGGCAAAUUUAAUGGAAAUAUGCAUUCUAUGAAACUAGUUUCAAUGAUCUAACCAUCAAACUUGUUUAUAGAUACUACAAGAUCGCAUACGCAAAAAAUCGCAAAAAAAUAAUUCAGAGAUUAGGUAACGAAAAAAAAGUUUUCGACAUUUAUAAACGAAAAAUCACCAUUUAACGGUUAUUUUAGCUCUGAUUUUAAUGAUUUUUCACAGCUACACUCCUCAACCCUAUAAGAAUGCAUUGAACAAAUUCAAUCUUCAAUUAAAAAUAUUUACACUAGUAGAUACCACAAAAUAUUAUUUUAUACUUGAUGGAAGUAUAAUAUUAACUCUAAGUGUUUGUUUAAUCUACCGUUUUGACGCGAUAUGCAUUCUACGAAACUAGUUUCAACUAGGGCUGGAAAAAAAUCCCAAAAAUACCAAACCAAACCGAAAUUUUCCCGAAACUGAACCGAAAUAUUCCCAAACCGAAAAAUUCCCGAAAUUUCGGUACGGGAAUCGGUCUCACGUUUUUGGGAUUUCGGUAUUCCCAAACCGAACUGAAAAAUAUACAUAUAUAUUAUUUAAUUUUUAAAUA